AGAGAGUGAUUCUGGCUCAGGACGAACGCUGGCGGCGUGCCUAAUACAUGCAAGUCGUACGCUUCUUUUUCCACCGGAGCUUGCUCCACCGGAAAAAGAGGAGUGGCGAACGGGUGAGUAACACGUGGGUAACCUACCCAUCAGAAGGGGAUAACACUUGGAAACAGGUGCUAAUACCGUAUAACAAUCGAAACCGCAUGGUUUUGAUUUGAAAGGCGCUUUCGGGUGUCGCUGAUGGAUGGACCCGCGGUGCAUUAGCUAGUUGGUGAGGUAACGGCUCACCAAGGCCACGAUGCAUAGCCGACCUGAGAGGGUGAUCGGCCACAUUGGGACUGAGACACGGCCCAAACUCCUACGGGAGGCAGCAGUAGGGAAUCUUCGGCAAUGGACGAAAGUCUGAUCGAGCAACGCCGCGUGAGUGAAGAAGGUUUUCGGAUCGUAAAAUUCUGUUGUUAGAGAAGAACAAGGAUGAGAGUAACUGUUCAUCCCUUGACGGUAUCUAACCAGAAAGCCACGGCUAACUACGUGCCAGCAGCCGCGGUAAUACGUAGGUGGCAAGCGUUGUCCGGAUUUAUUGGGCGUAAAGCGAGCGCAGGCGGUUUCUUAAGUCUGAUGUGAAAGCCCCCGGCUCAACCGGGGAGGGUCAUUGGAAACUGGGAGACUUGAGUGCAGAAGAGGAGAGUGGAAUUCCAUGUGUAGCGGUGAAAUGCGUAGAUAUAUGGAGGAACACCAGUGGCGAAGGCGGCUCUCUGGUCUGUAACUGACGCUGAGGCUCGAAAGCGUGGGGAGCAAACAGGAUUAGAUACCCUGGUAGUCCACGCCGUAAACGAUGA
rnacentral:rRNA from 1 species